AAUAAAGUGCCUGAUCAAAAGGAUUAUUUUGAUAGAAUAAAAAAUGUAAUAUAAUUACCUUUAUUA
rnacentral:tRNA from 1 species